CGUGUGUUCCCGGGAGUGCCAGAGCUCCGUCCCGCCUGAUCGGCCCCCGAGGGCGGCUCCAGGCAGUGCCGUGCCCCUGGCUCCUGGGUCCGACCGCCGAGAAGCUCAAAUGCUUUGCAAAGAAUUGGCGAUAGCGUGAGGGCUCGGCGCUGCCGCGCGGCUGCGUACCAGGGCACUGCCAUCCUCUAGUGAUCCCCGGUUCGAGAGCAAUACAUAAACUGCUGCUUUGAGCGAAGCCAUCGGCAAGGCUGCAUGUCAGUUCUGGAAAAGGCUGCACAGAUGUCAAGAGAAAGCUGGGGAUAUUAGUGCUUAAAAGGAUGCCAGCUCUGGGUAAACUGAAAGCAGGUGAUUACAAACCAGCUUUAGAAAUUACCAUGGUUCUCACCCCCAGGCAGUAGCUAAUCUCCUGAGAGCCCUAACUGGCUAAGCACUACCCACAGUAGAGAUGCAACAGCUCUGCUUCACCUAUUGUGGUUUCCCAGUCCCCACGUUACCAUCGCUCUGCACCCAGAGGAGGCACAGUCCCUGUGCCGAGUGCUUUCCCUCCCUCAUUUGGCAGUUCUGCAACCAGGACUCCAGUUGUUUUCCCUGCUCUCAUUUUGCACUACUGCAGCGGUACUGGAUCAAGGGUCAGACUUGAUGAUCUCAGAGGUCUCUUCCAACCCGGCUGAUUCUAUGAUUCUGUGAUUCUGUGCAGUCUCCCAACUGCAGCUGAUGACAGAGGUCACAGGUACAUUAAUAAAGGACCAAUAAUCCUUCCACUUCAGCUGGAUCUGCUACAACUACAGGCAAAGUUCUCUCAGACACUAGAUAGUUCCCUCUGUUCCCAAAAUACCAUCACAAUCCAUUUUGAGCAAGAAAAUUAGAUAAAGACUGAAUAGUUCUAAGUUAGCUGAAUUACGAUAAGCAAUAUUUAAUUUCAUUUUAGGAAGAAGUCAAUAAUUGUGUAUCACAUUUGCUGUGAAUUCUUUCUCUUCAGUAUUGCAAUACAGAGGCAUUUACUUUGGAAAUUUCCUAAUAUUCCUUCUGAUAUAAUUGUAUGUUUGCCUUUUCUUCACAGAUUCUUACUUUUGGUGAUUUUACGGUCACUGUUUGGCAGUGACCAACAGCCUAAACCUUCAUAAAGAAAUGCUGAGAAAUACAUCUGGUGUAGUUUUUAAGUAUUUUUUCCUCCCCUCCUAGAUAACACUUGCAUAGAAAAUAUGUUUUUUUAUUUUCUUUUUUGUUGCAAGACUUAGGGGACAACUGCACAAAACUUAAAAGCUUCCUCACUGUGCAAUUAACAAAAAGAUUGUGGACACAAUCCUUUUCUAUGUGUUUUCUUCACAUUUUUAUUAUAAAACAGGUAAAGUCUGUGCACAGAAAUAAAUUUGUCACCUAA